GCUAACGUAGCUUAACGAAAGCAUAACACUGAAGAUGUUAAGAUGAGCCCUAGAAAGUUCCGAGAGCA
rnacentral:tRNA from 1 species